AUUCCAGCUCCAGUAGCGUAUAUUAAUGUUGUUGCAGUUAAAAAGCUCGUAGUUGGAUUUCUGACUUGACGCGCCUGGCCCGCCUUGCAUUUCGCGGGUGAGUGCCGGAGCGCGUCGGUCAUCCUUCUAGAGAACGGCGCUACCCUUCACUGGGUCGGCGUCGCAAUCUAGAUCUUUUACUUUGAAAAAAUUAGAGUGUUCAAGGCAGGCUCGCGCUGUGAAUACAUUAGCAUGGAAUAAUAAUCUAGGACUUUGCUCCUAUUUUGUUGGUUUCUAGGAAUUAAGUAAUGAUUGAUAGGGAUAGUUGGGGGUGCUAGUAUUCAGCGGCCAGAGGUGAAAUUCUUGGAUUCGCUGAAGACUAACUUAUGCGAAAGCAUUCACCAAGGAUGUCUUCAUCG
rnacentral:rRNA from 1 species